ensembl:lncRNA
CCUCAAAGGUCUUCAGACCACAGUCCACCAAGAAGGCUUCAUUUGGAAUGCAGACAAUGAUCAGGAAGACUGAGUUCUCCAGCUGGUCUAACCAGCAGGCCUCCACCUUGUUAGCCGCACUCCUGCUCACCAUGGUGACACGUGAACUCCCGCAGGCUGCUGACGUUUCGUUCCUGAGCGUUUCUGUAGGGCACCAAAAGAACACUGAGGAUUUUCUGGACCAUCAGUUGCUAUGGGAGGAGCUCUCGGUUGCUAUGGGAAGAGCUCUCGCCAGAGCACAGCUCACACCGUAGAGCUUACACUGAUGCGCAGGGCAGCAGGGGGUCAGACUCUGGAGGUGCCUGCAGCCACAGCUCACUGGCCUUGCAGGGGGCUGCCCCCUCAGGGAGUUUUCCCAGUGGGAAAAUAUUUUUUCCAUUCUGUUUGCUGUUCUUUCACUCUCUUGAUA